CAAAUUGCUAUCACUAAAGCCUCUUGAGUCGAGCAUUUCAAUAAGUAUACAAAAGAUAUGUGGAAUCUCUGGAAUAUUUUAGUAUAUAAAUUGGCGUUCAGAACCGAUCCUGGGCACUUGGAUUAUCCCACUAGAUCCAACAUCUUCACCAUGAAAGCUGUAUUUCUCUUCGUUCUUACGAUUGCCCUGAUGGCCAUGGCCAUGGGUGCUGUUCAUCGUGAGUAAACCUAUUUUUGUUUCAUUUCAUUUUAACCUCAGUUUGAAAUUUG